GGAUUAAAAAAUAGCAACUAAUAAGACUAAUACAAGGAUGAGUAUCCUUUGCAAGCAUAGGUUCCACUGGGAAUAAAAGCAAGAUAAGUGAAACAAAUAUACAAAGCCUAACAUGGAAAUAGAAAGGCACAAGAACGACAUCGUUUAUCAUUUCAAAGGCCGGCAACUUUGACCUACGGCACAGUCACACAUCCAGGCUUCUCUGUAAUGCCAUAGUAGUCAAGAUGUCCCCGUUUUCAAUCCUCAUCCUCAUCUUCCUCCUCCUGCAGUAACACUCACAUCAGAAAUGACAAUUCCCAAAAUUUAACGUACAAAAGAUGCUCAUGAUUUCCCAAAAAAAAAAAAAAAAUAGACAGCAGGCUUGUCAUACACCGCUAUUGAUUCUUCAUGCAGACAGAAGUAAUGCAGAAACAUCUGCACCUUUUCUUUCCUUUUUCAAAUCAUAAAGAGCGAUGCACAUUUUUAUUCAAGAGAAAAACAAAACAGCUGCUUUGGUUAAGAAACGACAAUCAAAGCACCAAAUCUUACAUAGCCUGAUGCCUCGUGCUAGGUUGCACAACCUGGCAUUCAAGCAUAACAUGCAAUGGAUUCAAACUAACAUUCAUGGAAAGACCACAAGGUGAAGAUGAUGAUGNNNNNNNNNNNNNNNNNNNNNNNNNNNNNNNNNNNNNNNNNCAAAGUGGUCCAGGAGAUCUCCUAAGCUGAUUUAGGGUGCUAAGGAAAAAAAUCACAGACAUGGAAGGCUCAAACAAGUAAAGUUCAACAUAAAUCAAUCUGAUAAACUAUUCAGCCCACAACAAAACAAACAGCCCUGAAAAUGAGCCAUCUGAAAAGACAGGGAGGAAGGCCCUUCCUCUUUCCUAAUAGGAGUAGGGUCUAUUUCCUCUUUGCUCACCACCUCACAUUGCACCCAUGGUAAACUGCGUCCCUCCUCCACUUUUGAAAUUGCCCAACUCCCUCCUCAACUUGUCCAACUCACUCACUCAUGAGCUCAUAUGCUCACCAAUUCACUUGCUCAUGAGUGCGCUCACUCUCUCAUUCAUGAUCAACCUCACUCACGAGCUGAGUCCAUACAGUGGCCAGUCAUAACUUGUCACUGUUAUAGUUGUCGGAGUCCACUAACUAAUAAAAAAUAUUAACCCCAGCCCCAACCAUAUCAAGAUCUAACCUUUGGAUGAGCCCCAAAAAACAUCUAAAACCCUCUUCGCUGAUGAAAUUCUGCAUUCUUCGCCACUCUUUUGGCCCACUAAUCUUUCACUUUUAGCCUUCAAUACAUGAUCACCAACUAUUAAUGUCGAUGACAAAAUCCAUGAAUUACAUAGGACACCUCACACUACAGAAAUUUCCCCUCAAAUAAAUAUAAUCAUUUAUUCAAGAUAAAACAGAUAAAUAAAGAGGAGAAUUUUUCAUUUAGGUGAUCAUUAUGCCUUGAAAAGAAUGUGAAAUGAAUAAAAAGGUUUCCACAACUUAUUGUCACAUAAUGCAGCAUAAUCUUNN
rnacentral:lncRNA from 1 species